rnacentral:rRNA from 1 species
AUUGAACGCUAGCGGGAUGCUUUACACAUGCAAGUCGAACGAGUGGCGGACGGGUGAGUAAUAUAUCGGAACGUGCCCAGUAGCGGGGGAUAACUACUAGAAAGAGUGGCUAAUAGCGCAUACGAUUGGAGCGGCUGUUACUGGAUUAGCUAGGUGGUGGGGUAAAGGCUCACCAAGGCAACGAUCCGUAGCUGGUGUGAGAGGACGACCAGCCACACUGGGACUGAGACACGGCCCAGACUCCUACGGGAGGCAGCAGUGGGGAAUUUUGGGCAAUGGGGGAAAGCCUGAUCCAGCCAUCCCGCGUGAGUGAGAAGGCCUUCGGGUUGUAAAGUACUUUUGUCAGAGAAGCGGUAUCUACAGAGAAAGCACCGGCUAACUACGUGCCAGCAGCCGCGGUAAUAC